CCUACGGGAGGCAGCAGUGGGGAAUAUUGGACAAUGGGGGAAACCCUGAUCCAGCGACGCCGCGUGAGUGAAGAAGUAUUUCGGUACGUAAAGCUCUAUCAGCAGGAAAGAAAAUGACGGUACCUGACUAAGAAGCCACGGCUAACUACGUGCCAGCAGCCGCGGUAAUACGUAGGGGGCAAGCGUUAUCCGGAUUUACUGGGUGUAAAGGGAGCGUAGACGGCAGCGCAAGUCUGGCGUGAAAUGCCGGGGCCCAACCCCGGAACUGCUCUGGAAACUGGGAAGCUGGAGUGCAGGAGAGGUAAGCGGAAUUCCUGGUGUAGGGGUGAAAUGCGUAGAUAUCAGGAGGAACAUCAGCGGCGAAGGCGACUUACUGG
rnacentral:rRNA from 1 species